ensembl:lncRNA
CAGACAGCUAAUGGAGGAGGCAGGUCUGUGAGCCUCUGCCUGUAGUCAGACAGCUAAUGGAGGAGGCAUGUCUGUGAGCCUCUGCCUGUAGUCAGACAGCUAAUGGAGGAGGCAGGUCUGUAAGCCUCUGCCAGUAGUCAGACAGCUAAUGGAGGAGGCAGGUCUGUGAGCCACUGCCUGUAGUCAGACAGCUAAUGGAGGAGGCAGGUCUGUGAGCCUCUGCCUGUAGUCAGACAGCUAAUGGAGGAGGCAUGUCUGUGAGCCUCUGCCUGUAGUCAGACAGCUAAUGGAGGAGGCAGGUCUGUGAGCCUCUGCCUGUAGUCAGACAGCUAAUGGAGGAGGCAGGUCUGUGAGCCUCUGCCUGUAGUCAGACAGCCAAUGGAGGAGGCAGGUCUGUGAGCCUCUGCCAGUAGUCAGACAGCUAAUGAAGGAGGCAAGUCUGUGAGCCUCUGCCUGUAGUCAGACAGCUAAUGGAGGAGGCAGGUCUGUGAGCCUCUGCCUGUAGUCAGACAGCUAAUGGAGGAGGCAGCAGGAGACAGAGGAGGGAUAUCAGUU